rnacentral:misc_RNA from 1 species
UUCCUAUCCUAUUCCUUGUUUUGUGUGACUUUCAAUUUCCUGGCAUGCUUUUAAAAUGCGCUGCACACAAGCAAAUGGCUCCUCAGGCAAGCGAGGCCCAGCAGGCAGCGUGGCUGGACUUUCUGCUCCUCUUAGGCUUGUUUGAAGAAGGUGAAGAAGGAGAAGAGGAGGAAUUAGAAGGUGACGAGGAGGGAGAAGACGAGGAUGAUGCGGAAAUUAACCCCAAGGUGUAAUUUUUGUCUGUUAAUCAUUCAUACGUUUCUAGAAGGAACCCAGCCAGCCGGCGGAAUGCAAGCAGCAGUAGGAAGCGGAGGCGGGUGCCUGGCAGACCGGCUGUCGGGACUCCAGGCCUGUGGGCGGGGCCUCGGUCCUUGCCGCAGCACAAUCCCGUGGACAGAGCUUACUCCAUCUAACUCGUUUUCAAGUGCAUGAUUUUCACUUUCACUUUUCCUUUUUCCUUAUUAUUUUGCUUAACUU